CAGAAGCGUAUAUUUAAAUUGUUGCUGUUAAAAAGCUCGUAGUUGGAUUUCUGGUGUGGUGCGGUUGGUCCGUCGCCGAUAGGCGGUCGAGUACCGAUGUUGCGCCUACCAUCCCUUCUGGAGAGGCCCUUGCACUUUACUGUGCGGGGGAACAACCGAUCCAGAUCGUUUACUUUGAAAAAUUAGAGUGUUUAAAGCAGGCGUUAGCCACUGAAUACAUUAGCAUGGAAUAAUGAGAUAGGACUUUGGCCCUAUUUUGUUGGUUUCUAGGACUGAAGUAAUGAUUGAUAGGGACAGUUGGGGGUGCUAGUAUUUAACGGCCAGAGGUGAAAUUCAUGGAUUCGUUAAAGACUAACUAAUGCGAAAGCAUUCACCAAGGAUGUCUUCUUUAAUCAAGAACGAAAGUUGGGGGAUCGAAGAUGAUCAGAUACCAU
rnacentral:rRNA from 1 species